rnacentral:tRNA from 1 species
GGGCCCGUAGCUCAGCCAGGUAGAGCGGCGGGCUUUUAACCAUCGGGAGGCACCCGUAGGUCCCGGGUUCGAAUCCCGGCGGGCCCG